rnacentral:rRNA from 1 species
UAAGGGCGCACGGUGGAUGCCUUGGCACUAGAAGCCGAUGAAGGACGUUACUAACGACGAUAUGCUUUGGGGAGCUGUAAGUAAGCUUUGAUCCAGAGAUUUCCGAAUGGGGAAACCCAGCAUGAGUUAUGUCAUGUUAUCGAUAUGUGAAUACAUAGCAUAUCAGAAGGCACACCCGGAGAACUGAAACAUCUUAGUACCCGGAGGAAGAGAAAGAAAAUUCGAUUCCCUUAGUAGCGGCGA